AAAGGCAGGGUUGUGUAAGGGUAGUGUAUGUGUAUAUGCAUGUUAAUGGGCAGGUGUGUGUAAAGGCAGCAGUGUGUAAGGGCAAUGUAAAUAAAAUAACCUCUGUAAAAAAAUAGCUGGGGGGGCACAAUUUUCCAUUCUUGCCUCAGGCGCAAAAGGAGCUAG